rnacentral:tRNA from 1 species
GGUGAGGUUCGCCUGUUGGCAGGGGCAGCGGUUUGCUAAACCGUCGAUCGGCUUCGGCCGGUCCGUGAGUUCGAAUCUCACUCUCACCG